UUGCUCAUCUUGGCAGCACAUACACUAAAUUUGGAAGAACAAAGAGAAGAUUAGCAUGGUCCUUGCACAAGGAUUUGUGAAGCAUUCAUAAUUUUC
ensembl:snRNA LOC120100190 U6 spliceosomal RNA